rnacentral:rRNA from 1 species
CAAAAAGACGGUCUCAGUUCGGAUUGCAGGCUGAAACCCGCCUGCAUGAAGCCGGAAUUGCUAGUAAUCGCGGAUCAGCAUGCCGCGGUGAAUACGUUCCCGGGUCUUGUACACACCGCCCGUCACACCAUGAGAGUUGGCAACACCCGAAGUCAGUAGCCUAACCGAAAGGAGGGCGCUGCCGAAGGUGGGGUCGAUGAUUGGGGUGAAGUCGUAACAAGGUACC